rnacentral:rRNA from 1 species
CCUACGGGAGGCAGCAGUGGGGGAUAUUGCACAAUGGGGGGAACCCUGAUGCAGCGACGCCGCGUGGGUGAAGGAGUGCUUCGGCAUGUAAAGCCCUAUCGGCAGGGAAGAAGCAAGACGGUACCUGACUAAGAAGCCCCGGCUAACUCGGUGCCAGCAGCCGCGGUAAUACGUAGGGGGCGAGCGUUAUCCGGAUUCACUGGGCGAAAGGGGAGCGUGGCCGGCCAUGCAAGCCAGAGGUGAAAGCCCAGGGCUCAACCCCGGGACUGCCCUUGGAACUGUACGGCUAGAGUGCGGGAGGGGCAGGCGGAAUUCCUGGUGUAGCGGUGAAAUGCGUAGAGAUCAGGAGGAACACCGGCUGCGAAGGCGGCCUGCUGGACUGCGACUGACGUUGAGGCUCGAAAGCGUGGGGAGCGAACAGGAUUAGAUACCCUGGUAGUC